rnacentral:siRNA from 1 species
CGAAUAUGUUCGGAUAUUUGAUC